GGCCUCGUGGCCCAAUGGCAAGGCGUCUGACUACGAUAGAUAGUUCAUCACGGGAUUCACUUCGAGGAUGGAUACUGUGCGAUAAUCAGGAGAUUCUGGGUUCGACCCCCAGCGAGGUCA